CAGGAAUAAAAUAAGAACCUGGAGAGAGAUCAAAAGGAAAAGAUUAAUUUUUGCAGCUGGUCUGUAAUUACACAAGAAAGUGGCAUGUUGAGAAUUCCAUCGAAGGUUGUUCAAGUCUAGGAGACUUGCUGACAACUGGGAAUUACGUAUCGCAAUAGAGUCCAAAGAUAAUAUUUCUUAUCCACUUCAGACGAGAGAAACGUGAAACUAUGACGGAGAUGCAUGAAAUUAAAACCACGAUAUUUUAUCAAAACUGAAAGUUAAAAGUCAGUUCACAAAAGGAGACUGUCCUUUGUAUAUUAACAGGUCCGGGCAAGUGACAUUCCGUCCUUGUUACUAGCUCAUUACGUGUGGUAUAUAUCAUUCGUGUUUUCAUUUGUCAUAAAAAAAAAGUUACAUAAAAAAAUAUAUGAAAAUACGGUGGUAUAAGUAGUGAGAAAACAAAUAAUGGAUUAAAAAAAGCUAUAUAUAGCUAAGAACAUGCGCACAGAAAAAACCAUACAAAGGGAAAAAAAUUUUGAUCAUCCCUUUCCUGGCGGUUUACUAGGGAGAAAAUCACGAUAUGUUCUGUUUAAUUCAGCAAAUAUAAGCAAGCUAAAAGGAUUGUCAAUUAUUUGUAAUUUUUUCCAAAGCUGAGAAGGAGAUUAAGAAUUUUUGGAGCAAAAUCCUUAUUAUUCUAAUCCGAUUAUCUUAGUGUAUGAUUUCUUUCACUGUAUUUCCAUGGGAUUAUACCGGAGAUUUUGUUUUCACGACUACGCAACACAAAGAUUGAAAUAAUGAGACAUCUUUGUUACGUGGCAACAAUUUACAAGUAACGUGUAUUGAUCUACUUAGCAGACCCUAUAAAUUUAAGGGAACACAAAACUUCAUCACACAACACCAGUCUGUACUUGCUCCGAAAAGAAAUGUUUUCGUCAAGUUAUGUCUCUUUAGUAACCUGGCACGUGUGGAUAACAAGCUCAAGAGGUUUCACAAAUCGGGACAGACUUAUUGUUAGCUUAAUAUAGUUCUUAGUUAUCUAUUUUUGAAAUGAGCGCUUGGCGUUCCUUAGUGGGUAAUACCACAUACCACAUUGAUGAGGAGGCUAAAAUGAUACAUAAGAACCCAAAGAGACAUUUUCAUGUGAUAGUUACGAUCAUUUGUCAUAAUAAUAAUAAUAAUAAAAUCGCUUCGAAUA